rnacentral:rRNA from 1 species
CCUACGGGAGGCAGCAGUGGGGAAUAUUGCGCAAUGGGCGAAAGCCUGACGCAGCGACGCCGCGUGAGGGAUGAAGGUCUUCGGAUCGUAAACCUCUGUCUGUAGGGAAGAACGUUCACUGUUCUAAUCAGUAGUGAAUUGACGGUACCUGCAAAGGAAGCACCGGCUAACUCCGUGACAGCAGCCGCGGUAAUACGGAGGGUGCGAGCGUUUAUCGGAAUUACUGGGCGUGAAGGGCGCGUAGGCGGUAUGUCAAGUCAAGGGUGAAAUCCCGGCGCUCAACGUGAGAACUGCAUUUGAAACUGGCAAACUGGAGUGUGGGAGAGGAUAGUGGAAUUCGAGGUGUAGGAGUGAAAUCCGUAGAUAUCUGGAGGAACAUCAGUGGCGAAGGCGACUAUCUGGAACAUAACUGACGCUGAGGAGCGAAAGCGUGGGUAGCAAACAGGAUUAGAUACCCUAGUAGUC